UUCCGGAAGGCAAGGUCCCGGCCGCCGCUCCCGGAGCGAGCGGUCUCUAUGGCAACCAGCAGACCCUGGCUCGCUUGCAAGGUUCCCAGCGGCCGUCUAGCCGGCAGCGCCUGCACAAAGACCGCGCGGUGACCGCGUAGCACAGCGCAGCGCCGAGACCCGGCCAAGCCAGCCCGGCGGGAAUUGCCAUCCCCGCCGCUGCUGCCCGGGAAGCAGUUCCGGCGGCCUCCGUGACGUGCAGGCCGGGCGCGGCCUCGACCCUCGGGCCAUCUUGGCAGCGGAGGGAGCGGCGGAGCGACAGGUACACACGCCGCCGGGCCCGGGCCAGCCCAGGUGCCGCCGCCUUUGUUCACGCGCGGGUGGUCGCAUGGCACCCGUGGGCAGUGCCUGCAUCCGCAGCCCGAGCUCCGGCAGGUGCAUCCUGCAAAGUCUGGGAAGCGCAGGUCCGCGCAUCUCGUGAGGCCUAUGCAUCCUUACAAGAGCUGAGCAGAUCCAGCUCGAGCAUCCUUAAAGGCCUGGGCAGGUCCAGCCAGCGCCCCAUACCUUGACCCCGCGAAGCUUGCAGAAAGGAACUGCGUCCAGGACAGGACCAGCGUCCCCAGGCUUGCUUCAGCACCCAAGGCCUUUCUCUCUGGUUUUCCAGGUACCUGUGGCUUGACGUUGGCCAGCAUGGUCCAACCUCAGACCUCCAAAACUGAAAGCCCAGCCUCUGCCCCUGGUGCCAGCGCUCAGAUGGAUGACGUAGUUGACACCCUGACCUCUCUGCGCCUCACCAACUCUGCGCUGAGGCGCGAGGCCUCCACACUGAGGGCGGAGAAGGCCAACCUCACCAACAUGCUGGAGAGUGUGAUGGCCGAGCUAACUCUGCUGCGCACCCGGGCGCGCAUCCCUGGCGCUCUGCAGAUCACUCCACCCAUCUCUGCCAUCACCUCCAAUGGGACCCGACCCAUGACCACGCCACCCACCUCACUGCCUGAACCCUUCUCGGGAGACCCUGGACAGUUGGCAGGGUUCCUGAUGCAGAUGGAUAGGUUCAUGAUCUUUCAAGCCUCACGCUUCCCCGGUGAAGCGGAGAGAGUGGCCUUCCUGGUGUCCCGUCUGACUGGGGAGGCAGAGAAGUGGGCCAUCCCCCACAUGCAACCAGACAGCCCUUUGAGAAACAAUUACCAGGGGUUUCUGGCUGAGCUACGCAGAACCUACAAGUCCCCACUGAGGCACUCACGGCGAGCACAAAUCCGGAAGACAUCUGCGUCCAAUAGGGCCGUUCGGGAGCGGGAGCGAGAGCGCCAGAUGUUGUGUCGCCAACUUGCCGUAGCUGGCACAGGAUCCUGCCCGGUGCAUCCAGCCUCCAACGGGACCAGUCCCGCACCAGCCUUGCCCUCUCGAGGCCGGAACCUUUAGGGACCUGCCACCACCCUGGUAAUCUGUGUCCACCCAGGUAGCUAGACUCUGUCAUUGAGAAGAGUUGUCAAUACAGUAGCAUUGCCCUGUUCGAGGCACCCUUCACGACUCUCUGGUCUACGGGAGGCCAUCUUGCCAUCUGCAUUGGUCACCCACCCUGCUGUGCGUUUUUUUGUUGUUUUUUUUGUUUUGUUUUUGCUAGCUUUACCUGCAACUCAGUGCAUGCUCCCCCUUCUGUUGCUUGCCACCCCAGCUUCUCUAGCAAUCACAACACAGCCCCUUGGGCAUGUGCCUGCCCAGGAACAAUUUAGGCUGACCACUUCUUCGAGCUCAGCUCAAGGAUACUCAGCUCCUGGAGCACUUCCUUCGGGCGCCUUGGGAGUUCCUUUCCUGAGCAUUCUGGGUAGGAAGAAGGCAGCUUGGCCUGACAGGUGGCUGAUGUAUACCUGAACCAGCUUGUCCAUAUGUGGUUACUUUGCAAGGUGGCCAGGUAGUCACUCUGCAUCCCAGAGAUACUUUCCUCUGUUGUGGGGAGCUUGUAUCCCAGCGUACUCCACUGCUGCUGUUGGGAAGGUCUCUUCCUUCAUAGACAUGUGCCAGCCUCUCUUGUCCAUGGGAGACUCCUUCACACCUGCCCAUGCCUCCUGCCAGUGUUCUGAUGGCAGUAAGGACAUGCAUCAUUCAUCCGCCAAGUUAACUGUGGACCUGGGACCCUGGGCAGUUGUAUCAGGCUCGUGCCUCAGUUCUAGCAGACUGAGGGGGACCCUGGGAACUUCAUUUGCUGCCUGGAUUUCCUGGGAAAGGCUCCCAGGUGUCCGCUCAUUCCUGCCCGUGGCUCCAUGCUGGGCCUUGCUACUGACUCUUCCCCUUUCCACCCAGGUGCCAUGUGGCUUUCACCUCAACCUUUCAGCCACCCACACUGUCUCUAGGAGUCCAAGGAACCCACACAACAUAUCCUCUAUGUUCCUGGGCCUAAUGUCUAGCCUUCAUCUGAGAACAAAAGACUGGCUGGAGGCCAGUUCCUCUGGGAGACACUGAGCAUCUUCAGUAGGGUGUGUUGGCUUCUUGCUGCCCCAGUCUGAAGAACUGUAGAAGAGUGGCCAACUGCUUUGGUUCUCAUGUAGACACACAGUUCCGAGGAACAAAGCCUCACAGGAGGAUGACUUCUCAAGAUCAUACUCGGACUCAGCCAAGCCUCUGGACAAUGACAUUUAUCUGUCACUUCAAUGCCAAAUGAACUGUGUUUACAUACCUACCUGGCCCCUUGGGGGAGAUGGGUGCCUCUCCUGGGUUUUCCUGCCCUCCUCUGCAUGGUCUUGGCCUGACCACAAGGAAAAUAACAACAACAACAAACCGCCUCUGCACCCACGGAAACACACCUCUGUCCUCUUGGGAGCCCAGAAGCUGGGGCCUGGAACCUGGCCUCUUCCAGAGACUUCCUUUGUCAUUGGGAAAAGUGACUGAUUCUUAUCAAGGCAGCCACCUUUGCAAGGCCAGGAGUCUUCGAUGCUCACUGGGCUCAGCCCACAGCCACCUGCUUCUUGUCAACUCCAUCAGCCUAGCAGCCUCAGUGAACAGCCAGGGGACCCUGCUGGCACCAUGGUGCUACAAGCAGGUGGAAGACUCCUGGGGUUCCAUUGAGAGCACUCAUCUGUCCCCAGCAGCUGACUCUCACGCAUGACCUUCCGGUAGAGGGGGUCCCCAGGUGAAGCUACAGCUGCACCAGAAAAUUGGGGGGUAGGGAGGAGGUGUCUGUGGAGGCAGGCGACAACUGCAAGGUUUCUUUGUGGCGUUCCAAGUUGGGGUUAGAGACCCACUCACGGGGGAGGCAGCUCGCCUGCCCUGGCUCCUCAGACCACGGGGUGCUGGCUGUAUUUGCAUUAGGUUCUGCUUCAGAGCCCUGAGUAGAUACUAGAGCCCAGGCUGCCUGUGUUAGAGGCACGAAGGCUGCCUGGCUCCAGGUGUGGCUUCAUUACCUUCCUUUGCAUCUGGUCUGACCCACCUGGGCCGCUCUGCCACAGUGGGUCCCUACUGCUGCUCUGGUGGCAUUGGCUUGGAGAUUGUCUUGUUUCUUGAUGCUUGUGUUUAUGGGAACGGGGUGGUGAUGCCAUGUGCUUAGGACCAUCUCAGUAGCUCUCUGUGGCAUGGAGCCUGGAGCACAUGAGAGAGGAUUGGGGUUUGCCCUCUACUUUGGACCUGGAAGAGCCUCUUGGGACCUGUUGCUGAGGAGCCCAUCAUGGCUCUCGUCGGGGGCAUGGUUAGUCCCCAGCCAAAACGACAAGAUGCAAGGCCCAUGCAGCCCCAAGGGAGACUGUGAUAACUGGCUGCAAAGCCAACGAAGAGGGGGAGGGGGACUUUGGACAUACCUUAAGGUUCUAGUUUCUUGAGCUCAGAAGAGAACAGAGAGAGGGGAAUGGAGGAGUUGCUGUCUGAAGGACUUGUGUCGCUCCACAUUGAUGGUCGUGGCAGUACUGUGCCUGCUCUCCAGACUUUGUGACACCCAUCUGGUAAGCAGGACUUCCCUGUACUCAGCGUCUGAUGGACAGUGGGACCUGGCCUUUGGGUGACUUCCCAGCCCAGUGUUUACUGUGACCUUGGGAUUAUCUCCAUGUCCCAAAGCACUCAGUGGCUUUGAGGAAACAGCAAAGACCCAUCUCCUUAUCCCCGGCUAAGUAAGUGACGAGGACCUCAUGUUGGACUUGGUGGCAGCCGGUCCAGCACAGAAGGUAGAGCUAAAGAGAGGAGUCCCCACCCAGUGCCAUCGACAGCUGGACCAGGGCUUCCUGUUUGCCACAGCAGCAUACCAGGAAAUCUGGGGGACCAGAGAGGGGAAAGAAAAUGGUAAAAUUCAGUGUUUUGAUGUUUCCUUCCUGUCCCUGGCCUCAUCUUUCUUUGCCUCUUAUAUAGCCAUAGUGCUGCCUGUAGACCCCCACCGUGUACAUAUGACAACACUGUUUCCAUGUGCCACCAACCUUACCCUCAGUGACUGUGAACUCUCUCCUCAGGCUGAGGGACAGUGCUGGCACGUCAGGUAGUGACAGUGUGUCAGGUUUUCCUCCAAGGUACUUCCUUGGGAUAGAUUCUCUAAGGUGGGAUUAUUGGAUUAAUGAACAUGAGCCCCUCUGAGACUUUUACUACCUACAGACAAAAUGGUUUCCAGAAGUUUCUGCGUCCACUGCACUGCCUCCAGCAAGGGGCAGUGCUCCUGAUUCAGGGUCUUCUCCUAGGCCCGAGAAUUCCCUGACUUGACGAGCACCAUGCUAUAGUUGCAUCCUUCGGUCCUGGCGUGCUGUGAGUUGUUUUAUACCAAGUGACUGCAUUUCCUCUUUUGCAGACUGCCGCUGUCCUUGCUCCACUGAAGGGCCUGACCAAUUUGUAAGAGCUCCAUAUGUAAUUAAAGAUACUAACCUGGUGUGUGUCAUAUCUGCUA